rnacentral:lncRNA from 1 species
AAAAAGGGUUUGUGUGUGGAGUGUCUGCGCCAUGGCUGGAACCUCGUGGGGUAGAGGAUGAUGCAUAAAACAGACAAGCUGAGAGCGUCUUUUGGCACCAUACCAGUGAACACAAUAUCUUCCCACUACUUAUUCAACAGCUGUGAUUCUGAUUGUUUUGCUACCAGAGUACAAAUACCUGGAAAACUCAGACGUCCUUUUUGGUCAGCCUAUGGUAAAUGAUGAUUUUUAAUUGAAAGCAUUAAUAUGUGAAUUUUGCAUGUGAAUUUGGACAAAUCUCUCCCAUACCCUUGACCUAUGAAUGACAGUAAAGCAUUGCACGGACACUGUUGGUAAACGGGCAUUCAUAUUCCUAAAUCAGGAAAUGCAGGACCUGAGAGGAAGGGGCAUUUCCAAGCAAAGGCAUAUCUUUCUCAAUACUGUCUUACAUGAACUGUAAAAGGCAACAGCUUUCCUCCGUUGCCACAUGCCUUCCCCAAACCUCCUUUGUUUGUAUCUAUAACAGAUUAAAUGCUCUGUCUGUUGUAUGCAAGAUGUGUGCUUUGUUGUAAGAUCAGCACGUAAAAGUAGCCCCGACAACCUUGCUGUCUCUACCCACCUGGCAAGACUGCUGUGCUGGCCAGGUUUGUAUUUACAUGGAACACCUUCCAGCGGGUAUGAGUCUGACAGGACACCAGUGCCAUCUGUACAGCCGCUCACAGGCCCAGUGCUUCCUUCUGCCUGCUGCAUGCAGCAGUUCUCUCUAGAAUCUGAAAAACUCCAGCUCAGUUAUCUGUUGGAUAAGAUGAUCACUGAUUGCUUUGAAUAAAUAAAAAGAAAGAUGGGGAGCCAAGAAAUGGUUUGCUGAAUGUGAAGCGUAGAGGUAAACCAUACGUCAGAUCUGCACAGGUUGAAGUGAUCACUAAAAAGCACUCAGACUGCACCUUGAUCAGAAACUUACAAUACUUACACGGAUGGGUUAAAGAGCUUCAAAGCAGGCUAUGGAGGAGGAAAGUAAUGUUACCUAACACUUUGGAGACCUGGACUGCGGUGAGAAGAGACUUAAAAGUUAAUCCUUGGUGCCUCGGUACCUUCACUCCUUUCUGCAAUAUAUUUUUCUAUAAAUGUGUACUUGCAAAGGGAAAGAAGGGACUGGCUGAUUGUUUGCUUGAAUAGCUUGAAGGCAUUUGUAAAAGUUUCCUGAAAAAAUUAAUAUUGGAGCUUCCAGCUGCUGUAGCUCUUUCUGUUUCCUUGUUCAAGGGUUGUGCCAGAAAACUAACUGCACCAUCCCCUUCAAAAGCAGGUGCAACAGCCUGACAGCAAUCCAAUAAAAAUCCUAUUAGCUGUGUCUCCA